GACAGAGGAUGCAAGCGUUAUCCGGAAUGAUUGGGCGUAAAGCGUCUGUAGGUGGCUUUUCAAGUCCGCCGUCAAAUCCCAGGGCUCAACCCUGGACAGGCGGUGGAAACUGCCAAGCUGGAGUACGGUAGGGGCAGAGGGAAUUUCCGGUGGAGCGGUGAAAUGCGUAGAGAUCGGAAAGAACACCAACGGCGAAGGCGGAUCGCUGGGCCAACACUGACGCUGAUGCGCGAAAGCUAGGGUAGCAAACGGG
rnacentral:rRNA from 1 species